AUUGAACGCUGGCGGCAUGCUUUACACAUGCAAGUCGAACGGCAGCGCGGGCUUCGGCCUGGCGGCGAGUGGCGAACGGGUGAGUAAUGCAUCGGAACGUGCCCAGUAGUGGGGGAUAGCCCGGCGAAAGCCGGAUUAAUACCGCAUACGACCUGAGGGUGAAAGCGGGGGACCGAAAGGCCUCGCGCUAUUGGAGCGGCCGAUGUCGGAUUAGCUAGUUGGUGGGGUAAAGGCUUACCAAGGCGACGAUCCGUAGCUGGUCUGAGAGGACGACCAGCCACACUGGGAGUGAGACACGGCCCAGACUCCUACGGGAGGCAGCAGUGGGGAAUUUUGGACAAUGGGGGCAAACCUGAUCCAGCAAUGCCGCGUGCGGGAAGAAGGCCUUCGGGUUGUAAAACGCUUUUGUUCGGGAAGAAAUACUCUGGGCUAAUACCCCGGGGGGAUGACGGUACCGGAAGAAUAAGCACCGGCUAACUACGUG
rnacentral:rRNA from 1 species